UUGAGUGGCAAAAGAUGCCCAUAUGUAGCAGAAGCCUCAAAAUAAGUUUGCAAGGCACAGGUAGCGUAUAUGCAUGGAAAGAUGGAAGGAGUACAACUAAAAUUGAUCCAGCAAAUGUUAAAUCAUCCUUGGAGGACUAUUAGGACCCAUCAUGAAAAUUCCAACUGCUGUGGCAGUCAACUUGUAGGAUCUUGCAUUCAGUAUCUGUGGGAGAGCUUCUCCUGCUCCUUGUACCACAUUGCAUACCUGCAUAGAUACAUAAAAAAGAAUCAGAAAUCAAGGAUGUCAAUUAUCUGAACUCUCAAAACCGCUAAUCAAAUCUGCUAAUUAAAUCUGACGAGGAAGUUCAGUUGUUCGACAUGUGUUGUUUUCAUAUUACAAAUGGAAAUACAAUUGUUCAAACAGCAUCUUGUGAACUGUAGGAUACUUUCAUUCAGGCAAUCAAAUAGAACAGCACAAACACAGAUAUUAUUUCCAGUUUUCAGAUACUGAAUUUGAAGUGAAUUUUGCUGCCGUCUUCAGAAUUGGUGCGAAACUAUGCCACUUAUCAUCUGUGCAUUGCUAAGUCACAACAUGAGCUGAUUAUUCAAGGAGUUUUGGUGUUGAGUAAACAAACAAAUCUACACCAGCAUUGCCGUCAGAACUGGCAUGACAUUUAUGCUAAUAAUAAGAAUCAGUGUUAUAGCAUUGCACAGUUUGAGAUGAGUAUUGAGGGAGUUAUGUACAAAAAAAAUUGUACAUAAAAAAUGGCUAUAAUCCAAAGCACACAAAGAGGUUUCUCAAUUCUAUCAGAGCCGAAGCAUAGGGCACUUAUAACGUUGUACAAGAAUACUGAGAAUUACAAAAGCAUAUUAAGGCUAGUUCCUAAAUUUAACUAAUUGUGUUAACAGUUUGCCCUAGCAUUCAGAUUUAAAGCUACCACAAGAUCAGAGAGACUGAAUUUGCAUGCCAAUUACUUAUUGGACUUGAAAAUCGUACAAUCUAACUAUAAUGCUUUAAUUUAAAUACUUGAAAGUUCAGCCCAGAAAAAAAUAUUAGAUUAAGAUGAUCAUUGUAUGGCUAACUUGUUUGACCUAUCAAGCUACAACAUAAAAACAACCCUAACCACUACCUGAAUGCCCUACACAAUUAGCUUGGCAACGCUAACCAAUUAAAUCUGGUGCCAUUUCAUCGGACAUUGCUGGUGGAAGUAAUCAGAAAUGGAAGCAUGCAUCAACUAAGUAGCACAGUACAAGGGGCGUUUCACCCAGCAUCAAGACCUACAUAAGUAUGACAUGGCCGAAAACAAUGGUAAAUAAAUGACCACAUAAGUAUGUCAUGAGCGUUCCGAUUUCCAUAAUCAAACCCAGCAGACCAACGAAAUCAAACUCAUCAUCCACAACGAAACCACCCAACUAACAUUAAUUCCGCGUCCCAGCCCUACCAAAAUCAGGGCACAACAGAGGAGUGAAGCACCGCAAACAAUCAUGUGCAUUCUUCCCACGUAAAACGAGACUAAGACACGAGCAAUCCACCGAACCCUAACCGGAUCUCCCCGUCAGCCCGACCAGCACUCGAUCCGACCAGAUCUGCGUGUAGGGGAGGAAAGGCAGGCGAGCGAGCGAGCGCCGAGGGGGGAGCGGGGCCUUACUGGUAGGUGCCGACGACGGGGCCGAGGAGGAGCCCGGCGGAGAUCCAGUUCUCGGUGACCUUGUGGUGGAUCUUGGUGGUGAUGUCCUUCCACAGCCCCGGCAUCACCUUCUGCUGGAACGGCGAGAGCGAGUACACCACCGCCUUCAUCCGCACCGGAACCUUCCCCAUCCUUCCGCCGCGUCGCCGGCCGGCCGGACUUCCUCCUCGGGACGGGAUGCUUCGAUCGCCUCGCGCACGCCGAUGUGUGUGGGUGACUUCGGGAUCGUUCGGUCGCCGGGCAGAUGGGCUAGGGUUCGGUAUAUAGGCCAGAGGUGGGCUUGGGCUGGGCGAGUUUUGAUGGGCCGACCGCUGGCUGCUCGCUGCGACGGGGCCCCAUUUCUGUUAAGCUCAACUGGGACGGACCUUUUACUUUCUCGGCCGAAAAAAGAAGAGAAAGAUCAACCCCAUGCCAUUCAAAAACAAGGUGGAAAUCCCUCGAACUGGAUGAUUA
rnacentral:lncRNA from 1 species